AUGGGGAGCGGCCGAGCAUGGGGGUGCGGGGAGGGGGGAGGGCGGGGAGGGGAGCGGGCAGAAGCGAGGUCGUAAGGUCUCGUGGACCGUGUACAUAUGAGAAUCCAGGGAAGAGUAGCAGCAUAGUGUGGUGAGAAUCCGCACCACCGAAGGGGUAAGGGUUCCUCGGCAAUGUUUUUCAGCCGAGGGUUAGCCGGUCCUAAGGGCAUUCUUAACCGAAAUGUCCGAAUGGGAAAUGCGUUAAUAUUCGUAUGCCCCUCUACAAAAUAUGGUGACGGCUCGGGCUAGUUCGUGCAUUCCUGUCAUGGGAUGUCGAAGCGUUCGAUAACCGAUCGGAGAACCGUCAUGGUGAGAAGAUCGGGAAGGCGUGAGCAAAAGACGAAUGAUGCCUGGGUCCCAUGAAAAGCCGUAGAGGUGACCGUACCUAGAACUGACACAGGUACCCAAGGUGAGUAGCCUAAGGUGUGACGGGCAAAGUACCGCGAAGGAACUCGGCAAAAUCGCUCUGUAACUUCGGGAGAAGGAGUGCCAGCUUAGAGAUAAGCUGGUCGCAGUGACCAGAGGACUCCGACUGUUUAAUAAAAACAUAGGCGACUGCUAGAUCGAAAGGUUGUGUAUAGUCGCUGAAUCCUGCUCAGUGCUGGUAUCUGAAAUCGGGUUACAACCUGACGAAGGACCAGUAAACAGCGGGGGUAACUAUGACCCUCUUAAGGUAGCGUAAUACCUUGUCGCUUAAUUGGCGACUUGCAUGAAUGGUCUAACGAGAGUCCUACUGUCCCCGCGGUUGGUCCGGCGAAAUUGACUUUACUGGCGCACAGUCCAGUACCUUCAGCCUGCAAGCGAAGCCCCCGUAGAGCUUUACUGCAGCCUGUCGGUGUGUAGUGGCACUCCACGUGCUGCGUAGACGGGAGACAUCGAUCCAUCAGGCGCCAGCCUGGUGGGGAGUCAAACAGAGAGACACCGUCCUUGAAGUGCAACUACACUCACUCUUUACGAGGACACCGGUAGGUGGGCAGUUUGGGUGGGGCGCCACGCGCUCGAAAAAAUAACAAGCGUGCCCAAAGGUCAGCUUAGGUGGUUCAGUCUCCACCGUGAAAUGUAAGGGUAAAAGCUGGCUUGACGUGGAUCGGCAAAAUAACGAUCGACGAUGCGAAAGCAGGGCCUAUCGAACCAAUGUACCUCAUUUCUGGGGGUCAUUGAUAACAGAAAAGUUACCUCGGGGAUAAUUGAGUUGUCACCAGCAAGAGUCCAUAUCGACCUGGUGGCUUGCUACUUCGAUGUCGUCUCUUCCUAUCCUGGGUCCGCAGCAGGACCCAAGGGUGGGGUUGUUCGCCAAUUAAAAGGGAGCGGGGGAUUGGUUUGGACCGUCGUGAGACAGGUUGGUUGCUUUGUGGCUGAAGCGCGUAAGAUACCUGACGGGAAGGGGCUCUUAGUACGAGAGGAACGGAGUCUCGGUGCCACUAGUCUACCAGUUGUCUGCUAAGGCAAUGCUGGGUAGCCACGCACCAAUGGAUAAGAGCUGAAAGCAUCUAAGCUCGAAGUCAACCUGAAGACGAGGUAUCUCAGAGCUCCGAUAAAAGAUCGGUUUGAUAGACUGCGGGUGUAAGCACCAAGGUUCGCCGAGGUGUGUAGCCCAGCAGCACUAAUCGCUCGAGCAUCUACAUU
rnacentral:rRNA from 1 species